GGCUGGUAGUUUUGUGCUUGACAUGAAUUGAUUUUUUUCAACAGACAAUUAAACAAUGCUCGUAUCACCUGUGCUAUGAAGUAAAUGAGGCUACAACUUUAAUCACUUUAAUCAUGAAUUCCAAAUUGGAAAGGUAAAAGAAAUCACAACACGAAUAAAAUUCCAGUUAUAUAUUUCUCAUGCCCUUGAUGUUUGAAUCUUGUUGACAGCCUUUUUUUUUUUUUUUACAAUUCAGCAGCUACUUGGAGAUUGGAGGCUCCUCCAACCACUUGGCACGAAAGCCUGUUCCUUUACAAUUAGAGCAGCGCAUUGAACCCUUCCCAGCACAAAUGACACAAGUAGUGUUUCUGGAGGGGACUUGACAGAGCAUAUUAUCACCAAGAAUGAAGAAGCCUGUACCUGCACACCAUUUGCAUUCAACAUGCCCAUUUGAGCUGCAAGAAGUGCACGCAACUGGUCUUGGUUGCUGUGAAAUUAACCAAGCUUGCUCCAUGCGCUUAGCGAAAUUAGAGGAACUCUCAUAUGAAUCCACCAUUGAAGCCCUAACCGGAAAAACCCUAGAAGUGGCGAUGGCGGCGGUUAUCGCAGAAGGUAAAACCCCCAAAUUGAUUGGCAGCCUCUCG
rnacentral:misc_RNA from 1 species